UGAGGAAUAUUGGUCAAUGGGCGAGAGCCUGAACCAGCCAAGUCGCGUGAAUGAAGACAGUCCUAAGGAUUGUAAACUCCUUUUAUCCUGGAAUAACGGGCGAUACGAGUAUUGCAUUGAAUGUACCGUAAGAAUAAGCAUCGGCUAACUCCGUUCUAGCAGCCGCGUUACUACGGAGGAUGCUCGCGUUAUCCGUAUCUAUAGGGUUUAAAGGGUGGGUAGGUUGUUCGGUAAGUCAGCGGUGAAACCUGAGCGCUCAACGUUCAGCUGACCGUUAGAACUGCCGGGUUUGAGUUCAGUGGCGGCAGGCGGAAUUCGAGGGGUAACGGUGAAAUGAAUAGAUAUCACGAGGAACUCCGAUUGCGAAGGCAGCUUGCAAUACAGAAACUGACACUGAAGAACGAAGGCGUUGGUAUCAA
rnacentral:rRNA from 1 species